GGAAAAUGUUGCUUAGGAACCCGGGGGCGGUAAUGGGAACUUUGUAUCUCGCACAUUUCUCCUCUAGUGUGCGAAUCUCUUUUGACACCAGCUGUUUGUCUUGUGGGGAAAAAACAAUCCGAUGUGGCAAUGAGAGUUGAAUCGGCUGUUGUGUGAAUUCGAUGUGGUAGCCGAGGAUGGUCUCUAGGACCCAUGUAUCUGAGGUUAGGUUGUGCCAAGCAUCCUGGAAAUGAAACAAUCUGCCCCCCACGUGUGCCAAGGGAAGGGUGUGUAAUGGGAAGUGACUCACCAUAAGGCCGACGGCCAUAGGAGGAUCCCCUGGUUCCAC